rnacentral:rRNA from 1 species
AUGAACGCUGGCGGCGUGCCUAAUACAUGCAAGUCGAGCGAACGGACGAGAAGCUUGCUUCUCUGAUGUUAGCGGCGGACGGGUGAGUAACACGUGGAUAACCUACCUAUAAGACUGGGAUAACUUCGGGAAACCGGAGCUAAUACCGGAUAAUAUUUUGAACCGCAUGGUUCAAAAGUAAAAGACGGUCUUGCUGUCACUUAUAGAUGGAUCCGCGCUGCAUUAGCUAGUUGGUAAGGUAACGGCUUACCAAGGCAACGAUGCAUAGCCGACCUGAGAUGGUGAUCGGCCACACUGGAACUGAGACACGGUCCAACCUCCUACGGGAGGCAGCAGUAGGGAAUCUUCCGCAAUGGGCGAAAGCCUGACGGAGCAACGCCGCGUGAGUGAUGAAGGUCUUCGGAUCGUAAAACUCUGUUAUUAGGGAAGAACAUAUGUGUAAGUAACUGUGCACAUCUUGACGGUACCUAAUCAGAAAGCCACGGCUAACUACGUG